AGACCGCGCACGCGUCAUCCAGCCUGCCGGCGGCGGCACCGUUCGUCGCUCGGCCAAGUCCUCGAUAACCUCCUCUCCUCGGAGUGGGGGCUCGGGGUAAAAGAACCCACGACGCCUAAGGCGUCAAGGAACACUGUGCCUAGCCCGGGGACGCGGACGGCUUGCUGGCCGCCCCCCGUGCUGCAAUGCUAUUUAAUCCACACGACUCUCGGCAACGGAUAUCUCGGCUCUCGCAUCGAUGAARAACGUAGCGAAAUGCGAUACCUGGUGUGAAUUGCARAAUCCCGCGAACCAUCGAGUCUUUGAACGCAAGUUGCGCCCGAGGCCAUUCGGCCGAGGGCACGCCUGCCUGGGCGUCACGCAAAACACGCUCCCACCCCCUCAUCGGGUAGCGGGACGCGGCAUGUGGCCCCCCGUCGCGCAAGGGGCGGUGGGCCGAARAUAUGGCUGCCGGCGUAUCGUGCCGGACACAGCGCGUGGUGGGCGACCUCGCUUUACUUCCGCAGUGCAUCCGGCGCGUAGCCGACGUGAUGGCCUCGAAGGACCCUAUGAACGGUGCGCACGACGCUCCGACC
rnacentral:misc_RNA from 1 species